rnacentral:rRNA from 1 species
GACGAACGCUGGCGGCGUGCCUAAUACAUGCAAGUCGAGCGAACACAAGAGGAGCUUGCUCCUCUUGGUUAGCGGCGGACGGGUGAGUAACACGUGGGCAACCUGCCUGUAAGACUGGGGAUAACUUCGGGAAACCGGAGCUAAUACCGGAUAAUCCUUUUCCUCUCAUGAGGAAAAGCUGAAAGUCGGUUUUUCGCUGACACUUAC